rnacentral:rRNA from 1 species
UGUGUGAGUACCUGCCCUGCCUAAAGCGAAACUGCAGAUAGCUCAUUAUAUCGGCCUUAAUCAAUAAGAUUAACGGUCUCAGACACUCGGAUAACCGUGGUAAUUCUAGAGCUAAUACGUGCAUUUGAGCCCCGACGACCCGCGUCAGUGCGCGCGGGGAGAACGGGCGCAUUUAUUAGAAUCCAAAAACCGAUGGGAGGCGGGAUGCUAGCGGCGAGAAGCGAAAAAAACGAAAGAAGCGGCCGCCGGGGGCUAAAAAAGUCAACCGUUUGCGGUACCGAUUCUUUACGAAAUCCACCUUCUCGUCGGUACUCCCUCACUAUCAAACCAAUUUUUGCGAUGACUCCGGAUAAACCAGGCUGAGCGCUAAGGCCCUAGAGCCGGCGCCUUUCUUCCGAGUGUCUGCCCUAUCAGGCUGUCGAUUGUAGCCUAUUGGCUCACGAUGGUGGUGACGGGUAACGGGGAAUCAGGGUUCGAUUCCGGAGAGGGAGCCUUAAAAACGGCUACCACAUCUAAGGAAGGCAGCAGGCGCGCAACAUACCCACUCUUCACUCGAGGAGGUUGUGACUAAAAAUAACGAGGCGAGCUUCAAACCGAGGCCCCGCCAUCGGAAUGAGAUCACCUCAAAUCCUUGUACGAGGAUCUAUCGGAGGGCAAGUCUGGUGCCAGCAGCCGCGGUAAUUCCAGCUCCAAUAGCGUAUAUAAAAUUUGUUGCGGUUAAAACGCUCGUAGUUGAGUUUCUAGUUCGACGUACAGGGAGUAAUUCUUGGGGCGAGCGUCCUUCUCCGCGCCUCGUACUUCCCCCCUGCGCUUAAAAAUGAAGGACCCCGAGAGACAAAAAGGGAAAAACUUCCGAAUAAAACCGGCCCCCGCUCGGCGAGGAGAAACUCUCUCUCUCGUUCGCGAGUGGUGUGUCGGAAAAGAAAAAGUUUUCUCUCUCUCGGCAACUUCGGCUCUCGGGGGGCGAGAACGCAGGAGUUAGAGAACGUUUAGUCAGUAUAGAAUGUCCCUGCAAACAGUCGAGCUAUGUUUCGUUAAAAAAACUGAACGUCGGCUUUUCAGGGCGAGCGUACUUUUAACCAAAGUGCCUCGUCGCUGGAGCCGGCAUGUUCACUUUGAAAAAAUUAGAGUGCUCAAAGCGGGCCCAAAGAAUAUUUCCAAAUAUCGCCCGAAUGUACUCGCAUGGAAUGAUGGAACAGGACCUCGGUGUAGUUAAAGGAAAUUUUUUAUUCCAUCGGUUUUUAUCUAGAUCGAGGUAAUGAUUAAAGGGAACUGCCGGGGGCUUAAGUAUUGCGACGCGAGGGGUGAAAUCCGUUGACCGUCGCAAGACUACCUAAAGCGAAAGCAUUUGCCAAGAAUGUUUUCAUUAAUCAAGAACGAAAGUUAGAGGAUCGAAGGCGAUUAGAUACCGCCCUAGUUCUAACUGUAAACGAUGCUAACUAGCAAUCCGCUUGAGUCAUACCCACGACUUAGCGGGGACCCCCGGGAAACCAAAGUUUUGGAGUUCCGGGGGGAGUAUGGUUGCAAUAUUGAAACUUAAAGGAAUUGACGGAAGGGCACCACCAGGAGUGGAGCCUGCGGCUUAAUUUGACUCAACACGGGGAAACUCACUAGGCCCGGACAUCGAAAAGAUUGACAGUUCGAGAGCGCUUUCAUGAUUCGAUGGGUGGUGGUGCAUGGCCGUUCUUAGUUGGUGGAGUGAUUUGUCUGGUUGAUUCCGAUAACGAACGAGAUUCCGUCCUACUAAGUAGUCGGCGAAUCGUCUCCCGACGCGGGGCCCCUAAAAAAAGAGGGAGAUUAGUGGCGGGGUCAGGUGUCGUUUUUGGUGAAGGAAAGUGUCGCAGUUGGGGAAGUCCGGCGUCGCCGGACGUAGUUCUCGCGUUACCGUUGCGGUGACCGUACCGGAGCCUCGCACGCGCCGUAAUAGCGCGGAGCGUAGGUGGCCGCAGGCCCCGGGCGGAACGCGUUGUUUCUACGUCACGAGCGGCGUAACGGAUCCCUCCCCUCUCCCGCUUCUUGAUCCUUAACCGCCCUACCGGCGCUAUUUCUCGAUCUUCGCGAAACCCCACUAAGCGCGCGGGACGUUCGUCGAAACUUCUUCUUAGCGGGAUCGGCGGCAUUUAGCCGUACGAAAGUUGGAGCAAUAACAGGUCUGUGAUGCCCUUAGAUGUCCUGGGCCGCACGCGCGCUACAAUGAAGGGCGCAGCGUGCUUUCCUUCUCCGAAAGGAGUGGGUAACCCCCUGAAACCCUUUCCCGAUAGGGAUCGGGAAUUGUAAGUGUUUCCCAUUAACGAGGAAUUCCUAGUAAGCGCGAGUCAUAAGCUCGCGCUGAUUACGUCCCUGCCCUUUGUACACACCGCCCGUCGCUAC